rnacentral:rRNA from 1 species
UACAGAGGGGGCAAGCGUUGUUCGGAAUUACUGGGCGUAAAGGGCGCGUAGGCGGCCUGCUAAGUCGAACGUGAAAUCCCUGGGCUCAACCCAGGAACUGCGUCCGAUACUGGUUGGCUUGAAUCCGGGAGAGGGAUGUGGAAUUCCUGGUGUAGCGGUGAAAUGCGCAGAUAUCAGGAGGAACACCGGUGGCGAAGGCGCUCAUCUGGGCCAAUACUGACGCUGAGGAGCGAAAGCGUGGGGAGCGAACAGG